AUUGCUUUUUGGUUCCCUGGAGCUAAAAUCAAAACAUAAUGUGUGUUAUUCUCAGUACAAUCUGAGAUAUGUCUUUGAUGUGAGGACUGUAUAUUAACCUGAUUUUUGAAAGAAGGGGAUUAGUGAGAACAGGAGCUUGCUUUGUCUAUCCCAUGCAUGAAUCUAGUACUGCAGUAUCUCCAGGAAGGAUAUAUCUCUA
rnacentral:snRNA from 1 species